rnacentral:rRNA from 1 species
GAUGAACGCUGGCGGCGUGCCUAAUACAUGCAAGUCGAGCGAACGGACGAGAAGCUUGCUUCUCUGAUGUUAGCGGCGGACGGGUGAGUAACACGUGGAUAACCUACCUAUAAGACUGGGAUAACUUCGGGAAACCGGAGCUAAUACCGGAUAAUAUUUUGAACCGCAUGGUUCAAAAGUGAAAGACGGUCUUGCUGUUACUUAUAGAUGGAUCCGCGCUGCAUUAGCUAGUUGGUAAGGUAACGGCUUACCAAGGCAACGAUGCAUAGCCGACCUGAGAGGGUGAUCGGCCACACUGGAACUGAGACACGGUCCAGACUCCUACGGGAGGCAGCAGUGGGGAAGCUUCCGCAAUGGGCGAAAGCCUGACGGAGCAACGCCGCGUGAGUGAUGAAGGUCUUCGGAUCGUAAAACUCUGUUAUUAGGGAAGAACAUAUGUGUAAGUAACUGUACACAUCUUGACGGUACCUAAUCAGAAAGCCACGGCUAACUACGUG